rnacentral:rRNA from 1 species
UUGGAGGGCAAGUCUGGUGCCAGCAGCCGCGGUAAUUCCAGCUCCAAUAGCGUAUAUUAAAGUUGUUGCAGUUAAAAAGCUCGUAGUUGAAUUUCGGGGUCAGUAGAUUGGUCGUGCCACUGGUAUGUACUGGUCUUACUGGCUCCUCCUUCCUGAUGAACCGUAAUGCCAUUAAUUUGGUGUUGCGGGGAGACUGGACUGUUACUUUGAAAAAAUUAGAGUGUUUAAAGCAGGCUAACGCUUGAAUACAUUAGCAUGGAAUAAUGAAAUAGGACGUUCGAUCUUAUUUUGUUGGUUUCUAGGAUUGACGUAAUGAUUAAUAGGGAUAGUUGGGGGCAUUAGUAUUCAAUUGUCAGAGGUGAAAUUCUUGGAUUUAUUGAAGACUAACUACUGCGAAAGCAUUUGCCAAGGAUGUUUUCAUUAAUCAAGAACGAAAGUUAGGGGAUCGAAGACGAUCAGAUACCGUCGUAGUCUUAACCAUAAACUAUGCCGACUAGGGAUCGGAUGAUGUUAAUUUUUUAAUGACUCAUUCGGGCGCCUUACGGGAAAC